rnacentral:rRNA from 1 species
GAUGAACGCUAGCGGCAGGCUUAAUACAUGCAAGUCGAGGGGUAACAGGGGUAGCAAUACCUGCUGACGACCGGCAAACGGGUGCGGAACACGUACGCAACUUUCCCAAAACUGGUGAAUAGCCCUCCGAAAGGAGGAUUAAUACACCGUAACAUAAUGAAGUGGCAUCACUUUAUUAUUAUAGCUCCGGCGGUUUUGGAUGGGCGUGCGCCUGAUUAGGUAGUUGGCGGGGUAACGGCCCACCAAGCCUGCGAUCAGUAACUGGUGUGAGAGCACGACCAGUCACACGGGCACUGAGACACGGGCCCGACUCCUACGGGAGGCAGCAGUAAGGAAUAUUGGUCAAUGGACGAAAGUCUGAACCAGCCAUGCCGCGUGAAGGAUGAAGGUCCUCU